rfam:Peptoniphilus duerdenii ATCC BAA-1640 genomic scaffold SCAFFOLD1, whole genome shotgun sequence.
AAAAAUCUUGAAGCGCCAGAACCUUUUUGGUUGACGAGGAGUGAGAUCAUCGAAAAUUCGGCGGAUGUCUCAAAGGUACCACAGCCUAAGUGCCAUACAAAUAUGCGAGUAAUCGCAAAACAAAAUUGGCAAAGUGGGGCCGA